CUUCACCGACCCCAACCACAACGGCCGACCCUCGACACGAUCCCGGCCAUAGGUCGCCAACAACGCCUGCGCCUC
rfam:Actinoalloteichus hoggarensis strain DSM 45943 chromosome, complete genome.